AGAAAUUUUUAAGGGAGGGUUGUUAUAUGCUUCAGUGUGCAUUUUAACAAGAGAAAACAGAAGAUAUGCUGUGAUAUACCUUGAGAUUGUCGGUAAGUUUUAUUACACAUAUUGUCUUUAUAUUCAUACAUAUUUAAGUUGCUUUUGUAGCAGAUAUGACUGCUUUAUGGUUAUGACUGAAUGGACAGAAAGAGUCCAAACGGUUCAUUUUCGAAUGUACCAGUCUGGUGUUUGUUACCUCAAUUUGAAAUCAUUACCAAUCAACAUGUGGUUUGAGAAUCAGCAAACUACUGAUACAUGGUUUUAAAUAUGUACAUCAUGUAGGCAAGAUUUAUUAACGAAGAACUGCAUUCAUGAUCAUGCAGACUAAAAGACAUUUAUAACUGUAAUAAAUGUUAUUUCAUCAUAAUGUAGCAUCUUUCUAUUCAUCGAUUUUUUAAUUAUAACACUAAGGGUUUUUUCACCUUUCAGUUCAUUUCACUUUAUUUUGAAAUAUUUCGAAUAUAUGUGAGCCAAAAUUAAAUAAUUCUUAAACCGCCAUCAUACUUCUCUUUCAGCAUCAGUUUACAAAAUGAGACCAGUAUCAUUAAUUGCUCUGUGUAUAAUUGGGGUACUACUUGAAGAUGCGAUUGCUCUACCAUGCAUGUCCAAUGACACAAAGAUAAAAUUUGAAGCAGCCAGAAAAGCAUUGACAGAUCUUGGAAACGACAUCAAAAAUAAAAUAACGAAAUUAGAUAGCGACAUGGGGGUUUUAGUUUCGGAUUUUCAGA
rnacentral:lncRNA from 1 species